UACGAAGGGGCUAGCGUUGCUCGGAAUCACUGGGCGUAAAGGGUGCGUAGGCGGGUCUUUAAGUCAGAGGUGAAAUCCUGGAGCUCAACUCCAGAACUGCCUUUGAUACUGAGGAUCUUGAGUUCGGGAGAGGUGAGUGGAACUGCGAGUGUAGAGGUGAAAAUUCGUAGAUAUUCGCAAGAACACCCAGUGGCGAAGGCGGCUCACUGGCCCGAUACUGACGCUGAGGGCAC
rnacentral:rRNA from 1 species